AUCGAACGCUGGCGGCAGGCCUAACACAUGCAAGUCGAACGAGUGGAGGACUGGUGAGUAGUGUCUUGGAAACUGCCCGAUGGAGGGGGCUAACUACUGGAAACGGUAGCUACUACCGCAUACCAUCGGAUGUGCCCUGAUGGGAUUAGCUAGUAGGUGGGGUAACGGCUCACCUUGGCGACGAUCCCUAGCUGGUCUGAGAGGAUGACCAGCCACACUGGAACUGAGACACGGUCCAGAAUCCUACGUGAGGCAGCAGUAGGGAAUAUUGCACAAGUGGCGCAAGCCUGAUGGAGCCAUGCCGCGUGUAUGAAGAAGGUCUUCGGGUGGUAAAGUACUUUCAGCGAAGAGGCGUUAUGCGCAGAGAAAGCACCGGCUAACUCCGUGCCAGCCGCCGCGGUAAUAC
rnacentral:rRNA from 1 species